AUUUUUUUUGUCCCUUGAUUGUCUGUGGAUAGAGGGGAAAAAAUUCUGACUAUUCUUCAUGUAUUGAUUAUAUAUUUGCUUAUGAGUGACAAAGUAUAUUCAAACUUUCUUGUGAUCCAAGUUUUUUCUGUGAUUUCAGCUUUUUACUGCUCUCCAAUCAACAGAGAUCAGCCUCUGCAACUGAUCACCAUGUGAGAUCCACCUAAUUGACUGUGCUUCACCAACAGACCAUUCCUGGCAGCCUUGGGUCUGAAACAGAUAUGUCGGUUGGAAACUCCAGCAGGAUGUGUAUAUUUCAGUUUUAAGCAGAUUUCCAUGGGAUCCUAGUUGGCUUUGGAGACUGAAGAAGGAGGAAACAACUCUGUGAAGUGAACAUCUGCUAGAGUCGUGAAUGGCUUUGGGGAUGAGCUCAUCAGCAGCUUUGCAGGACAGCUCCCGGACAAAGAUUGGAAUUGCUACAACUUCCAUCUAGGGACCAAAGAAAAAUUCUUUUAAUUUCAUUUUUGACUUUUUAAUACAGGUGGGUAAAACAAUUUAAUAGAGACGCAAAAAAAUAAAAGGUUGAUAAAAUUAAAUUUAGCUCUAGAAUUAGAUAGUCAAUGAUGGCACAUAAUUCCAAAAUAUUAGGCCUGAUAGUAGAUUCAGAAUUUGUUAAUAAUAAAGGAUCAAAGUGAUGACGACAAGAACAAGGUAAAUCACAUUUUAUUGUUUUAAGACAAUGAUUUUGUGCCAGAAUUAACUGAGGCU